rnacentral:rRNA from 1 species
UACAGAGGGGGCAAGCGUUGUUCGGAAUUACUGGGCGUAAAGGGCGCGUAGGCGGCCUGCUAAGUCGAACGUGAAAUCCCUGGGCUCAACCCAGGAACUGCGUCCGAUACUGGUUGGCUUGAAUCCGGGAGAGGGACGUGGAAUUCCAGGUGUAGCGGUGAAAUGCGUAGAGAUUUGGAGGAACACCAGUGGCGAAGGCGACUUUCUGGUCUGUAACUGACGCUGAGGCGCGAAAGCGUGGGGAGCAAACAGG